GAUGAACGCUGGCGGCGUGCCUAAUACAUGCAAGUCGAGCGAACAGACGAGGAGCUUGCUCCUCUGACGUUAGCGGCGGACGGGUGAGUAACACGUGGAUAACCUACCUAUAAGACUGGGAUAACUUCGGGAAACCGGAGCUAAUACCGGAUAAUAUAUUGCACCGCAUGGUUCAAUAGUGAAAGACGGUUUUGCUGUCACUUAUAGAUGGCUCCGCGCCGCAUUAGCUAGUUGGUAAGGUAACGGCUUACCAAGGCAACGAUGCGUAGCCGACCUGAGAGGGUGUUCGGCCACCCGGGAACGGAGACACCGUCCAGACUCCUACGGGAGGCAGCAGUAGGGAAUCUUCCGCAAUGGGCGAAAGCCUGACGGAGCAACGCCGCGUGAGUGAUGAAGGUCUUCGGAUCGUAAAACUCUGUUAUUAGGGAAGAACAAAUGUGUAAGUAACUAUGCACGUCUUGACGGUACCUGAUCAGAAAGCCACGGCUAACUACGUG
rnacentral:rRNA from 1 species